UGCCAGCAGCCGCGGUAAUUCCAGCUCUGAUAGUAUAUAUUAAAGUUGUUGCAGUUAAAAAGCUCGUAGUUGAAACUUGGGUGCGUAGGGGCGGUCUCUUUU
rnacentral:rRNA from 1 species